rnacentral:misc_RNA from 1 species
UCUUCUCGUACACCUUUUCUUUUUCUCCACUACUCCCUCUUUUCUUUGACCUUUGGGUAGCCAAUAUGACUGAUAAGGGCCAUUAUCUCUUUUUCUCUUCUUCCUUUUCUAAUUUUUGUUAGUUUUAUAUGAUCAAUGGUCAUAUUUAUUCUCAUUUGGAGUAGAUUGGUACUUGUUCCCUCGAUUUUUUGAGGAUUUAUGCUUUUUUUUAUUAGAGUUCUGUGCGUUUGAUUGCUGUGUUGUUUGGUUGGUAGUGCAAAAGCAUGGAAAAGUUUUCUUUUCUACAGUCAUACUUUGUUUUCGUUAGUAGCGAUUUUCAUAGGCUCAGUGUUGGGUGAAAUAUUAAUGUUUAUUGUACUCGAACUUAAAUUCAAUUUACGGAAAAUACAAUAUUG